ACGGAAGGCAGCAGUGGGGGAUAUUGCACAAUGGGGGAAACCCUGAUGCAGCAAUGCCGCGUGAGGGAAGACGGUCUUCGGAUUGUAAACCUAAGUAGUCAGGGAUGAAGAAAGUGACAUUACCUGAAGAGUAAGCUCCGGCUAACUACGUGCCAGCAGCCGCGGUAAUACGUAGGGAGCGAGCGUUGUCCGGAUUUACUGGGUGUAAAGGGUGCGUAGGCGGGCUUGCAAGUCAGGCGUGAAAUACCGGGGCUUAACUCCGGGGCUGCGCUUGAAACUGUAAGUCUUGAGUGAAGUAGAGGCAGGCGGAAUUCCCAGUGUAGCGGUGAAAUGCGUAGAUAUUCGGAGGAACACCAGUGGCGAAGGCGGCUUACUGGGCUCUAACUGACGCUGAGGCACGAAAGCAUGGGUAGCAAACAGGAUUAGAUACCCUGGUA
rnacentral:rRNA from 1 species